rnacentral:lncRNA from 1 species
GCCCCCUCGCCAGGCAGAUAAUUGCUACAUAUUCUUUUGUACUGCUGCCACCACCUCCACCAUCGGGCGUUUUCCCAAACAAUUGCCUGAGCAGCCUCAGAGCAAUCCAUCUCCCUGCCGACACUGCUUUGGUAUUAGGGGUCUCCCAGGAGCAGAGAUGCCCUGUGACUGCUCCUGUCUGAUCACAUUCCCCACUCUCCUCACCCUGAAGCUAACAUCUCUGCACUGGCUGGAGUAAGUCCAAAGGUUGUUAAACACUGGUCUGGCCACUGGCUUUUGCUGCAGGAGUGAAAGUGGAUGAAUGCCUUGUGCCCAUCCAUACCUUGCUAUGAGCUCCUUCUUCUGACAUCCUACCUUGGGGCUAAGCCUCCUCCCCUGGCUGUGGUGCUACAGAUAUAAAUCACCUUCUGUAGCUGGGUAACUCUUUACUUUAAGGGCCUGUUCCUUUAAGCAAAAGCAGUAGGAGAG